GCGGCGGUAGCGCAACUGGCAGAGCACCUGGUUGUGAUCCAGGAGGUCGCGGGUUCGAUCCCCGUCCGUCGCCCCA
rnacentral:tRNA from 1 species